rnacentral:tRNA from 1 species
GAGGGUAUAGCUCAGUGGUAGAGUGCAUGCUUAGCAUGUGUGAGGUCCUGGGUUUAAUGCCCAGUACCUCCA